rnacentral:rRNA from 1 species
UACGGGGGGCAAGCGUUGUUCGGAAUUACUGGGCGUAAAGGGCUCGUAGGUGGCCAACUAAGUCAGACGUGAAAUCCCUCAGCUUAACUGGGGAACUGCGUCUGAUACUGGAUGGCUUGAGUUUGGGAGAGGGACGCGGAAUUCCAGGUGUAGCGGUGAAAUGCGUAGAUAUCUGGAGGAACACCGGUGGCGAAGGCGGCGUCCUGGACCAACACUGACACUGAUGAGCGAAAGCCAGGGGAGCAAACGGG